GUCAAAGCUCAGAAAUAGACGAAGUAAAACCAAUAAAUCACUGAAGUAGUAAUUAGUAAAUGGAUAUUGUGCGCACACCAAAGAGAGAGUUUGUCAACGAGGAUCACUCAAACCAAGAUACCGAGUGAGGCAUCGGGGUAUAUUGUUAUUAUAAAGCAGCUUAUAUGGUGAUAAGGGAGAAUGAUGCUUCUCCUCCAACUCCACUUGCCAGGCUGUGACCAUAGAAAGAUGAAUAAACCAUCAUCCAUGCCCUCAAGUUGCUCACAAGAUAAAUAGGAGACAGAGAUAGAUCCCCCUCUGGAGUACAGAGCAGAUGAUGCUGGGAGCAAAACUGACACUGAAUACGGAGUUGAUGAGUUACUAUAAACGUAUACAGUUAUGGAAAGAACAUUAUCUUGAUUCAGAAGACCUAGAUUUGGGGCAUGGAUCUGCCACUGACUUCCUGUAAGAUCCUCGGCAAAUCACUUACAGUCUCAAAGGUACAAAUCUUCACAGCACAAUGGAAGGAACAAGAGCCUUGUAGGAUUAUGGAAAGGCUAAA